GGUGGGGGGGGACCUGGACAUCCACACCCCAAUGAGGAUGCACUGAGCUGGGACACCUCUGCAGAAGUGCACCACUCCAUGCAGACAUGGCCUCGGCUGCAUCCAGCCCAGGAUCGGCCUCUUUGGGCUUCCAGGUUCACGCGGCGGCUGUCAACGGAGAUCGAAGCGCCCUCAUCAAACUCAUCGCAGGGGAGUCCUCACUGAGGGACCACGAGGACCAGUUUGGCCGCACUCCUUUGAUGUACUGCGUUCUGGCUGACCGCCUGGACUGUGCAGAAAUUCUGCUGAAAGCCGGCGCCUCGGUCAACAAGACAGACCAUAGCCAAAGAUCUGCUCUGCACCUGGCUGCACAGAAGGGGAACGUGCGCUUCCUAAAGCUGCUGCUGUCCAGGCGCGCCAACUGGCUGCAGAAAGACUUGGAGGGAAUGACGCCGCUCCACCUGGCCACCCGACACCCCUCUCCCAAAGCCCUGGCCCUGCUGCUCAAACACAUCGGCCCCGGAGAGGUCGACACACAAGACAAGAACAAGCAAACUGCUCUUCAUUGGUCAGCGUUUUAUAACCGUCCUGAGCACGUCCGCCUUCUGAUCAAGCACGAUUCCAACAUAGGCAUCCCAGACAGUGAGGGGAAGAUUCCUCUGCACUGGGCUGCGCACAGUCAGGAGGCCAGUGCCACACAAACUGUGCGCUGUAUCCUGGAAGCGGCACCCACUGAGUCCCUGUUGAACUGGCAGGACUAUGAGGGUCGGACGCCCUUGCAUUUUGCCGUCGCUGACGGUAAUCAGGCGGUGGUGGAGGUGCUGACAUCCUACGAGGGCUGUAACGUGACAGCUUAUGAUAACCUCUUCAGAACGCCACUGCACUGGGCGGCUCUCUUGGGCCAUGCUAAAAUCGUCCAUCUGCUGCUGGAGAGGAACAAAUCUGGCACCAUUCCCUCAGACAGCCAAGGAGCCACGCCGCUGCAUUACGGCGCACAGAGCAACAAUGCUGAGACAGUCGGUGUGUUUCUGUCCCACCCGUCUGUGAAAGAUGAACCCGAUCUUGAGGGCCGGACAGCCUUCAUGUGGGCCUCUGGAAAGGGCAGUGAUGACGUCAUCUGCACCAUGCUGGAACACAACCCUCACAUCGACAUUAACAUGGCCGACAAGUAUGGCGGCACGGCGCUGCACGCAGCUGCUUUGUCGGGCCAUGUGAGCACAGUGCAGCUGCUGCUGGAGAAGGGAGCGAUGGUGGACGCUCUGGAUGUCAUGAAGCACACACCGCUGUUCCGCGCCUGCGAGAUGGGACACAGAGAUGUCAUACUCACCCUCAUCAAAGGUUCUGCGCGGGUGGACCUGGUAGAUGUGGAUGGUCACACUGCUCUGCACUGGGCAGCCCUUGGAGGGAAUGCUGAGGUCUGCCAGAUGCUGAUGGAAAAUGGGAUCAGUCCAAAUGUGCAGGAUCACGCCGGCCGAACUCCACUGCAGUGUGCUGCAUACGGGGGCUACAUCACAUGCAUGGCGGUUCUCAUUGAAAACCAUGCCGAUCCAAAUAUACAGGACAAGGAGGGGCGGACCGCUCUCCACUGGUCGUGCAACAAUGGUUACCUGGAUGCUGUGAAGCUGCUCCUCAGUUACAACGCCUUUCCCAAUCAUAUGGAACACACGGAGGAAAGGUACACCCCGUUGGACUACGCUCUGCUCGGGGGGCACAGCGAGGUGACUCAGUUCAUGCUGGAAAAUGGCGCCCUGUCCAUAGCAGCUAUUCAGGACAUCGCCGCUGCCUCCAUCCAGGCCGUCUAUAAAGGCUACAUGGUCCGCAAGGCCUUCAGGGAAAGGAAGCAGCUCCUCAUGAGGCAUGAACAACUGCGCAAGGAUGCAGCCAAGAAACGGGAGGAAGGACAGCGGAUAAGAGGAGCUGUGAAGCAGGUUCCAUUGAGCUCAUCAGCUUCAACAGGGAAAGCACAACAGGAAAAGCUCUCUUUAGUGAAUGUCCUUCAAGAUUUAACACUUAAUGGUUUGUCAGAAGAAACAAAAAAGCGGUCUAAAGCUCAACACUCAAAGAACAAAGAGGAAACACACAAAGCCCACAAGAGCAAGUUCUCUAGAAGAAGUAAGGUUGCCGACCGCCAUGAAGUUCCUGAUGCUCUAAGCAGCAGUUCCCACAUAAGCAGUGACACUGAUGAAUCCCAGACCACCAGGCUGAAGGUGCUCCUCUCUCCUGCACGCUGCAGAGAGACUGCCGCUCUGAAGCCCACACCUCCUGCUGUGCACAAAGUAAAAGAGAGACCCUCCUCGAACGCAUCCACCCGGUCCACACCUGUCUCCACUUUGGCCCAAAGAGAGGCUAGGAAAGGUGAAAGCAUGACCUUGAAAAAGAGAGACGUUCACACGAGCGUGCAGAUCGUCGCAGGCAACGCCGAUGCCAGCCUUUCUACUCGAAGGCACAGAAAAUCCAGGGAGCAGGUUUCAGGCAGGAGCACCAAGACCAAAGACCGAGCCCAUGCGAACACGUCAAGAGACGGUGCGAAAAAACCCUCCAGUGAAAAUGAGUUUGACCUACAUGCAGUUGUAACAGCACAGAUACAAAGAGACUGUGAUAAAGAUCAGCACAGAAGAAGAAACCAGGCUGCACGCCUUAUCCAGCAGGCAUGGCGAAGGUGCUGCGCACGCAAAGGAAGAGAGGCAAAGCCCCAUGAAGAGGUGGAGCCGGGGGAGCCAAACUGCAGCCGAAACGGAAGGAAAAUGGAAAACAGAGCACUGUGUGGAAAGCUGGCACAGAGUAAAAAAUCAGUAUUACAAAAUAUCUAUGACAGCUCUGACCUUCGUAACACAUCACCAGGUGAUGAUGAGAGGACAGGCAGAAACCUUGCUGCACCAAAGCAUACAAGUGCACGUGCCCCGUUCCUGAUGGACAGACUGAAACGCUGCGACUCCACCGUCUGACAUGCUUCUCCCCUCCCUCUUCUCACCUCACUCUCUCUCCCCCUUUCGCUGGCUCUGACAGUCGUGGCACUGUGAAAAGUUCAGAGCUGUCAGGGGGAAUGUCAGACAACGGUGCAGGGCUAUCUGCCGAACACACAAACCCCCAAACGCCGUCUCGCACACGCACAAGUCUUAUGUCUCACUUCAUCAUGGCGCAUUAUCAAUUACUUGUUAAAUAUAACUUAGAAGAAACAGGUUUUGUAUGGUUAUCAAUCUGUCUUUUCAAGGCUCCACCUUUAAGAAGAUUACAAAAUAAAACUUGAAUGAAUCUAGUUGAGAAAGUAAGAGCUGGGACUUCACCAGAGGAGGUAUUGUUUUCAUCCCCAAGUACUUUAGACAAUAAUGGGGCCCAAAAAAUUACAGAAAAAUCAAAAUUAAGGCCCCAGCGAGAUUUGAACUCGCGACCCCUGGUUUACAAGACCAGUGCUCUAACCACUGAGCUAUAGGGCCUUUGACAAACAUUACUAAGGCACAGUACGGUUUUAUCCACAACACACCCAUAACAGACUGGGUGUGUACUGGGAUGGUAAACCUGUUACACAGGAGUCACAUCGUUAAGGACUUAAACUCCGGACUCAAAAAAAAUGUGUAAAAUCUUACUUCCAGCUGUCUAAGAAACAUUUUCUCCUUUUUCCACAGGGAAAAAAGGGCAGCCUGGGAGCUGUCAGUCUCACCAGCUUUUGGGUAUCCCCCUGCGCACCCAAAGCCAAUUGAGUGGUUUAAACUGUGUGCACCUGACUGAUGCAGUUAACCAAGCUAAGCACUACUCCUACCACCUGAGACCACAAAGUGCAGGCCAAGGGACAAGAGGCCAGGAGAA